rnacentral:ribozyme from 1 species
GUAUAGUUCUCAAGUGAAGAGAAUGCUUGUUCUUUCCUUUUCAUUAUUACCUUUUUUUCUGUCUUGUUUUCUUCCUC